UAUCACUAAGCGGAGGAAAAGAAACUAACAAGGAUUCCCUUAGUAACUGCGAGUGAACAGGGAUUAGCCCAACACCGAAGCCUGCGGUUGUUUGAUCGUGAGGCAAUGUGGUGUUUAGGUUGGCUUCUGGCAUUACUGCUCUUCCCCAAGUCCAGCAAUGAGUACGGCUUCCCAUUCUGGCCCAUAGAGGGUGAAAGGCCCGUGGGGGUAGAGACCAAGUGUGACAGUUCUGCUCAGAGCUCCCCUUAGAGUCGGGUUGUUUGUGAAUGCAGCCCAAAGUGGGUGGUAGACUCCAUCCAAGGCUAAAUACUUACACGAGUCCGAUAGCAAACAAGUACCGUGAGGGAAAGUUGAAAAGUACUUUGAAGAGGGAGUAAACAGUGCGUGAAACCGCUCAAAGGUAAACGGGUGGAGUUGAACUGCAAGCCCUGGGAAUUCAGCUGAUGAGUGUGAUUUGUGCUUGGGCAUACUGGCCGCCUUCAGUGUCCGUUUAACCGCGGGUGCCUGCCUUAUCGGUGGGUGUGUGUGAAUCGUUUGCAAGCGACGCACGCACUGUUGGUGUGAGGGUCUGCUUGUCAGUGCACUUUCUCAGGGUGUUCACCACGACCGGCGCUGCUGCCUGUCUGCUAUGAUCAAACUGGUCGAGUCUGGCAUUGUUGGGCUUGGCUGGGUCGGCAGGUGACUCUUUGGCUCAUUCGUGGGCCGUGAGUGUUACUAGCUGGUUGUAGUGGAUCUGUGCGGUGUGUCGGAGAUGGCGGCUUCGCAUGCGUGCUUAGACCUGCGGACAUUGUUGAGUCUGGUCGGUUUGUUACUGGCUUCGGCUGGUCGGCUGAUGGCUUGAUUUUGUUGCGUUGGCAGUUGCGUGUGUGAACGGCUUGGGCCCAUAGUCUGUGGUGUAGUGGUAGACGAUCCACCUGACCCGUCUUGAAACACGGACCAAGGAGUUUAACAUGUGCGCGAGUCAUUGGGUGUUACGAAACCCAAAGGCGAAGUGAAGGUAAAGGUUCGGCUUGUCCGGGCUGAGGUGAGAUCCUGCUGUCUUGCUCAUACUUUCCAAGUUGCGAGCAGUGGGCGCAUCACCGGCCCGUCCCAUGACGUAGACAUGUGACCUUGCGUUGCGUGCACCGUCGGGGCGGAGCAAGAGCGUACACGUUGAGGCCCGAAAGAUGGUGAACUAUGCUUGCGAAGGUUGAAGCCAGAGGAAACUCUGGUGGAGGACCGUAGCGAUUCUGACGUGCAAAUCGAUCGUAUAACGUGAGUAUAGGGGCGAAAGACUAAUCGAACCAUCUAGUAGCUGGUUCCCU
rnacentral:rRNA from 1 species